rnacentral:lncRNA from 1 species
CCCGGGCGGGGGCCGUUGGGGAAGCCGCGGCCUGGACCGGGACCCACCGGCGGCUCCCCAUGGGGCAGGGCUCUGACCCGCACUCGGCCUGCGGCUGAAAGGGCCUCAGCCCUGAGAAAGAAUCGGAUCUUCCCGACCACCCCCAGCCGGAGGGAGCUGCUGGAGCAGCAGGUAGAAGAACUGGUGCCCGCCUUGCUGUGCUUGGACGACCUUUCCAUUGUUCAAUUUAUGGAAACCUAUCCUGAAUUUGGCACCACCAAAGAGAUCCUGGACCUGCUGUUUGCAAAAUAUGGAUGCAACAAAUAUCUGAAUGAUGACAUCGUGGGAUCCGUGGAGCAGUGCAAAGUGUGAGUGAGCUCUGGCUCAUGCAGGAGGGCCUUCCUCUCCAAGAGGGCAGCGAGGGGGCUGUGGCCUGGAGGGGCUGCUGGACCCUCACCCCACACAUCUGCAAUUCCUGUGACAAGGUAAAGGUCUAAUGGGUCCUUUGAGAAAAGAGGAAAAGAGAGCUGUGGAUGGGGUG